ensembl:lncRNA novel transcript
GUCCUGUGAUGACCUGUGGCGGAAGGUAAACCGAAGGUGACUGCGGUUAACGUCCUCGAUGGGAAUGGCCACCUUCAAGAAUUGAAAAAGAAGUUUAAGCACUGUUAUCAAUAUCAUCCAGCGUAACAGCUUUAUUCAACUGGAGCUAUCAGGGUCACCUACCAGGAGCUGAGCCCUUUCCUUGCCAGAGCUCAUACAUGAUGCUGCCCACACGUCAUCCUCCGUGGCCGGCUACCCCCAUGCCAUGCUGAGAAGCCCUGAACAAGCCAGUUCUUACCAGGCAUGAUUAUCUCCGGAAACCCUGUUUUUCGAGCCACAGCUGUGGUCCUGUCCACUAAAUGCGGAAACUCUUUUCGGAUCUGAUGGAUAUCUCCAGGAAGUAAUUUCAAUGUUACCCACAAACCUGGAAAAACAAUGGAUGCUCUUAAGUCGCAUUUUAUCCUAUGCAUUUUUAGAAGUUUUCACGAAACCAAUUUCAAUGAAUGAGAGACUUUUAAUUCACAAUUCAACAUCUUGAGAGAAAAGAGAAAUAUGCAACUGCGAAGUUCUCACGGGAGAAGUCCUGAGCACACUGCAAGGC